CCCUUAGUUUGAUCCUGGCUCAGGAUGAACGCUAGCGGCAGGCUUAACACAUGCAAGUCGAGGGGUAUGCUUCUUCGGAAGCAGAGACCGGCGCACGGGUGCGUAACGCGUAUGCAAUCUACCUUUCACAAAGGGAUAGCCCAGAGAAAUUUGGAUUAAUACCUUAUAGUAAUACGCCUUGGCAUCAAGAUGUAUUUAAAGAUUUAUCGGUGAAAGAUGAGCAUGCGUCCCAUUAGCUAGUUGGUAUGGUAACGGCAUACCAAGGCUACGAUGGGUAGGGGUCCUGAGAGGGAGAUCCCCCACACUGGUACUGAGACACGGACCAGACUCCUACGGGAGGCAGCAGUGAGGAAUAUUGGACAAUGGGCGCAAGCCUGAUCCAGCCAUGCCGCGUGCAGGAUGACGGUCCUAUGGAUUGUAAACUGCUUUUGUACAGGAAGAAACCCUUUCACGUGUGGAAGAUUGACGGUACUGUAAGAAUAAGGAUCGGCUAACUCCGUGCCAGCAGCCGCGGUAAUACGGAGGAUCCAAGCGUUAUCCGGAAUCAUUGGGUUUAAAGGGUCCGUAGGCGGUCAGAUAAGUCAGUGGUGAAAGCCCAUCGCUCAACGGUGGAACGGCCAUUGAUACUGUCUGACUUGAAUUAUUAGGAAGUAACUAGAAUAUGUAGUGUAGCGGUGAAAUGCUUAGAGAUUACAUGGAAUACCAAUUGCGAAGGCAGGUUACUACUAAUGGAUUGACGCUGAUGGACGAAAGCGUGGGUAGCGAACAGGAUUAGAUACCCUGGUAGAAGGGC
rnacentral:rRNA from 1 species